AGACGAAGGUGGCAAACGUUGCUCGGAAUUACUGGGCAUAAAGCGCGCGUAGGUGGCUUGGUAAGCGGGGGAUGAAAUCCCAUGGCUCACCCAUGGAACUGUUCUCCGAACUACCUUGCUUGAGGACGGGAGGGGGAAGCGGAAUUCCUGGUGUAGCGGUGAAAUGCGUAGAUAUCAGGAGGAACGCCGGUGGCGAAAGCGGCUUCCUGGUCCGUUCCUGACACUGAGGCGCGAAAGCUAGGGGAGCAAACAGGAUUAGAUACCCCGGUAGUCC
rnacentral:rRNA from 1 species